UCACAUCCGAGGCCUUGUAAUUGGAAUGAGUACACUUUAAAUCCUUUAACAAGGAUCAAUUGGAGGGCAAGUCUGGUGCCAGCAGCCGCGGUAAUUCCAGCUCCAAUAGCGUAUAUUAAAGUUGUUGCGGUUAAAACGUUCGUAGUUGAACUUGUGUUUCGCACGGGCAGCUGCCAUAGGCCAGUUCACUGGUCCGGUAACUUGUCUUAUCAGUGCGUGGACGUAUUAUCGGCGUGUUCACAAUAGCUCAUUUCAGUGAUCUUAACCGAUUGUUGUUGUGAGCCGAUACAAAUUACUUUGAACAAAUUAGAGUGCUUAAAGCAGGCUUGUAAUGCCUGAAUAUUUUGUGCAUGGAAUAAUGAAAUAGGACAUCUGUUCUACUUUCAUUGGUUUUUUAGACCAAGAUGUAAUGAUUAAUGGAAGCAGUUGGGGGCAUUAGUAUUACAACGCGAGAGGUGAAAUUCUUAGACCGUUGUAAGACUGACUAAAGCGAAAGCAUUUGCCAAAGAUGUUUUCAUUUAAUCAAGAACGAAAGUUAGAGGUUCGAAGGCGAUCAGAUACCGCCCUAGUUCUAACCAUAAACGAUGCCAGCUAGCAAUUGAGUGUAGCUACUACUAUGGCUCUUUCAGUCGCUUCUCGGGAAACCAAAGCUUUUGGGCUCCGGGGGAAGUAUGGUUGCAAAGCUGAAACUUAAAGGAAUUGACGGAAGGGCACCACCAGGAGUGGAGCCUGCGGCUUAAUUUGACUCAACACGGGAAAACUUACCAGGUCCGAACAUAAAUGAGUAAGACAG
rnacentral:rRNA from 1 species